rnacentral:rRNA from 1 species
GACAGAGGGUGCAAACGUUGUUCGGAAUUACUGGGCGUAAAGGGCUCGUAGGCGGCCAGCUAAGUCAGACGUGAAAUCCCUCGGCUUAACCGGGGAACUGCAUCUGAUACUGGAUGGCUUGAGUUUGGGAGAGGGAUGCGGAAUUCCAGGUGUAGCGGUGAAAUGCGUAGAUAUCUGGAGGAACACCGGUGGCGAAGGCGGCAUCCUGGACCAACACUGACGCUGAGGAGCGAAAGCCAGGGGAGCAAACGGG